GGCAUAGGAGGCCACUUCCUGGGGUGCACACAGGAUGUUUAUAAACACAUUGAAUACACGUGGUUUUGAGGGUAUUCCUGUUUGCGGAUGGAGAAAAUCAGAAAAUGCCGUGAACUAUUUCUUUCGGGGCAUAGGAGGCCACUUCCUGGGGUGCACACAGGAUGUUUAUAAACACAUUGAAUACACGUGGUUUUGAGGGUAUUCCUGUUUGCGGAUGGAGAAAAUCAGAAAAUGCCGUGAACUAUUUCUUUCGGGGCAUAGGAGGCCACUUCCUGGGGUGCACACAGGAUGUUUAUAAACACAUUGAAUACACGUGGUUUUGAGGGUAUUCCUGUUUGCGGAUGGAGAAAAUCAGAAA